GGUGAGGAGUGACCAGGUAAGGGAGUAAGUGUGUGGGAUGACCAGGUAAGGGAAUGUGUGUGUGGGAUGACUACUAGCAGGUAUGGAGUGACCAGGUAAGAGUGUUGCGUGCCCAGUGGCGCAUGUGUAGAGAGCAGUUAAGCGAUGGUGGCGAUCAGGGGUGGCAUAAGCAGAUCAGGGCAGAUCUGGGGUGGCAUAAGCAGAUCA